rnacentral:rRNA from 1 species
UAAAACUUUCAACAAUGGAUCUCUUGGUUCCGGCAUCGAUGAAGAACGCAGCGAAAUGCGAUAACUAAUGUGAAUUGCAGAAUUCAGUGAAUCAUCGAGUCUUUGAACGCACAUUGCGCCCCCUGGUAUUCCGGGGGGCAUGCCUGUCCGAGCGUCAUUG